AGCUGGUGUGUUGUUGUCAAAGGAAAAUACGAGAACAAAAUUUCCCUUAAAUCGUAAUUGUUGUGCUGAGUAAGAAAAUCGUAAAAAUUUCGCUCAAAAUAUAUAAAAUGAUCAAAAGAAAAGAAAUAAUCACACAGAGAUUCAAACUGCGAGUAUAGAAAAUCGAGUUAAAAUCAAGAGAUGAGAAAUUUCCUUUCCUUUUAUUUCUUUCCCCUUUGAAACAAUAGGAAAAUAAAGGAUUGAAUUUGUACAGUAAAUAAGACUAAAUAAAUAAAAAUGCAAAUGCCAAACGAUAUCGCGAAAGCCGGGAAACAGAGAAAAACGUAAAAAAAAAUUGAAUAAAAAUGCACUUCGGCAGUUAAAUUUUUUUGUUUUAAUUUGUUUAGGCGAUCAAUUUCUAUUGUUUGCCUCUUUACAAUUCACAAAGAAGGAGGCGGACCCUACAGGUUAUUAAGGAAACGAAAAUUUCUCUGUUUGCAGCCACCCAGCGAAAUUUAUGGAAAAAAGAAAACAGUAGAAAACUACUGAUAGCGAAUCUUUCGUAAAGAAGGUUGCAAACACUCUAGUAUGCACGGAAGAGAAGAAAAAAAGAGAAUACUAAAGAAUGUAUAUGUUUUUUAUGGAUGAAUGAAAAGAAAAACAAUUUAAAUACUGAGAAGUCAACAGAAAGAUGUUUGUAAAUAGUUGCAAAGGGAUUUUAGUAAUAUUAUGAUUUUAUUCACAUUUCCAUUUAACCUUAAUUUUUCCCCGUAAGUAAUCGAAUCCUGUUGAAGAUAAAAACAAUUGUAUAGUAUAAUAUUGGAUCAAACGGAAAGCUAGCACCACGUUUUUUACAUAAGAUAAUGAAGAUAAUGAAAUAUUUAGUAGAAGGUAGUUUAUCUAUUUGUUUACAUUCUUCUACAUUCUACAGUACGUUGAAAAGAAACGAGAUUCAUAAACAUCAGUCUUAGUUGACGUUUCUAAUGUUUCUUCAAUUCUAUUUCCUAACACUACGACGCACUUGUGAAAAAAAUAAUUUGUAUUUACAUGAAAGGGACAAAGUCUUGAAAGUAGCAAAAUCUCUAUAUUAUUAUUUUAUUACCAUAGGAAGUAUGCUUAUUAUUUUGUGGGGGUCACGUACCUUGUGGGAUUCAGCAUACAAUCUUUCUAGCAUUAUUCUUUGAACAUAUUGCUCCAUCCCCGGUUUCCAUGGAAAGUUAUAGAAAGUUCCAUGUGGGGGCAUACACAGGUGGGAUUAAAAGUCCAUAAUCGAUUUUCCCACAUGGUAUUGAAAAAGCUCCAAGUGGGGGACUGACCUGAAAUCUAACCAUGUGGAGGUAAAGGAGUAAACAAAAGGCUAAAAGUAAAUGAGAAUGUGAAGUGAAUUCAAAAGUAAAUAAUUGACUAAAAUUAAAAAGAAAGA